CCUUGCUUGGUCUAGUGGUAAGACACCCAGCUAACCAAACUUCUCUCUCGGGAGGGUUUUCUUCUCUUUAAUAAGGGCACUGGGAGGUCGCUAGUUCGAAUCUAGUAGCAGGGG